CAGAAAAUAGUUUAAUGAAAAAUGCCAGCUUUGGGAGUUGGAGAUAGAGGUUUGAUUCCUUUUUUUCUGA
rnacentral:tRNA from 1 species